rnacentral:rRNA from 1 species
UACGGAGGGUGCAAGCGUUGCUCGGAAUUAUUGGGCGUAAAGGGUAGAUAGGUGGUCUCAUUUGUCUGGGGUGAAAGCCUUGAGCUUAACUCAAGAAGUGCCCCAGAAACGGUGAGACUCGAGUCCUGGAGAGGGUCGUGGAAUUCCCGGUGUAGCGGUGAAAUGCGUAGAGAUCGGGAGGAACACCAGAGGCGAAGGCGGCGACCUGGACAGGCACUGACAUUCAACUACGAAAGCGUGGGGAGCAAACAGG